UGGGUAGCCGGGCGGCGGGCCGCGUGGCCGCCACUACCGGGACGCUGUGGCCCUGCGCGCCUCGGACUCCCUAGUCAGCUGUCGCUUUUCUGUCGUACGCCCGCACCCUGGUGCACGCACGCUCAGCCUGUUUUGCACCGUGCCUACACACUUGGCGUGCUCCGCGUUAGGCCCCCACGCUACACGUCAUAGCUGUGGCCAACCUGUCCUUGCCGAACCCCAGCGGGCCGGGCGGCCCGUACUGCGCCGCGCGCUCCCCCCUCCCUGCGAGGCAGCCCUACUCGCGCACGGAAGUGCGUCCCGGGAGGAAAAGCACCUCCCCGGGGUCUUAGGAGGCAAACCGCCCGCAGUUCACCAGAAGGAAAGCCUUUCACCACAACCCCGGGAAGUAAAUAUUUUCAAGCAGUAUCUCCAUUGCACUGAUGAGAGAACUGAGGCUCCCAAGAGCGUAAAUUCAGGCCCAGUGGCGUCCCGGGUAGAUUCUUUCCAGAAUUGAAUAAUUAAGGGAAAAAACCCGGGGAAGCGUUUGUGUACCUUCUGAGCUGAAUGUGCCCAGCACACAGUGGGCACCCGGAGGAUUUUUUUUCCAGUUUGUUUUGGUGAUGCUGAUGCUCAGGCCUUGACCAGGAUCAGCCAGAAGCCUCUGUAGUCCCUUGCAGUGUGGCAAAUCCACUCAAGAGUUCAGCCAUCUUCCCUCCUAAUUCAAGUCAUCCAAGGAUCCUUUUCUUGAAAGUCAUGAAACUAAGACAACGGACUGUCAAGAACAAACUAAACAAUUGCUUCCAAGCAGCCUUAAUUACCUGGAUCCCAACAGUCAAGUAUUGUUGUUAAAGCACUACGGAGGAGGUCAGUCCAAGCAGUGUGACUCUUUUCUGCUCUGGCCAUGGGAGAAGACAAUAUUCCUUUCAGAGCCUGUAGGGAAGCUGCAACAGUUGAAGAUAACUGGCCCCCAGAGAGACACAGCGAGAGAGGGAUCACAAGCAGGGGGAGUGGGAGAGGGAGAAGCAGGCCCCCCACGGAGCAGGGAGCCCAAUGCCGGGCUUGAUUCCUGGACCCCGGGAUCAUGACCUGAGCCGAAGGCAGAUGCUCAACGACUGAGCCACCCAGGCGCCCCAGAAAGGCAAAAUUUUAAAAAGGAGAGAAGGUCAAGGAAAGCAGUCAAAUACCACAGCAUACCUUCAGGAGAGCACACAGCAGGAAGUUCAGAGAGGAUGACUAACGCAGCUGACACCAAUCUACUUCCAUCUUCCGACAGCACCUGUGGCUUCGUAGCUUUUACUCCUGGGCUACCUGUCAAUUUAGGAUUUAGUUCUGGAAGCUGUCUAACUAGAAUGCAUACACACAAUUCCAGUGUUGCAAAAACCAAAGAUUUCCCAGGCACAAGUCCUCCUGUGUCCUUGCCCUCUCCAAACUCUGGCAGGGUUUCCUUUUCGGCAGCCCCAUCAUCAACUAAAAGACAGAAAGAACAGUGUUGAAUAAACACUUCGUGUUUGCUUUGGUUUGGGUAGAUGGCAAUUUAAGUCCAUUUCUGUUGUAGGUAAAAUAUAUUUUUUUAAAGAUUUUAUUUAUUUAUUUAAUUGACUGACAGAGAGAGAGAGACAGUGAGAGAAGGAACACAAGCAGGGGGAGUGGGAGAGGAGAAGCAGGCUUUCCGCCGAGCAGGGAGCCCCAUGUGGGGCUCGAUCCCAGGACCCUGGGAUCAUGACCUGAGCCGAAGGCAGUCACUUAACGACUGAGCCACCCAGGCACCCCUGUUGUAGGUAAAACAUUUAAAUAAAUGGCUGAAGUCUUGGGUGUUGAAGAAUGAAAGAUAAAGUUAUGGAGGUAAAAGGAGUUGUCUUUAUUAUGACUACCUAUUGCAGUAGAUCAAAAGAAAUCCUUGGUAACCCUCUCAGCUUUAAAAUAUUGUCUAGUUAACAACUUGCUGUUAAGAAUGUGAACCUGAGGGGCGCCUGGAUGGCUCAUUUGGGCAUCUGCCUUUGGCUCAGGUCAUGAUCCCAGGGUCCUGGGAUUGAGCCCCACAUCAGGCUCCUUGCUCUCCUGCUUCUCCUUCUCCCUCUGCUGCUCCCUCUGUGCUUGCUCGCUCUCUCAAAUAAAUAUAAUCUUAAAAAAAGGAAAAAAAAAAGAAUGUGAACCUGAUAGGUCCAGCUCCAGUGCCUACCUUGUACUCUUAAGUAUCGAUAAUGGCGGGCAGAAAGA